rnacentral:lncRNA from 1 species
AUGGUGGAAGCAGCUGGCCUGGAAUCCAGAACUAAGACCAGGGAACAGCAAUAUGAAACUGCAGCAGCAGAGAGGGCAGAUUGGAAUAUCCAUCUGAUUGAAUGGGACUUGGACAGUGAGCCAGGCCAGGAGAUUCCAGGGAAACGGCGUUUGGGCCAGCGCAGUGAAACAAACAAAACAGCGAUUCCAAAUGAUCCAGAUGGAGAGUUUCACUGUGGGCACAGCAAAACCCAGGACAGUGCAGCUUGGUGGGGGAGAGGUGUCCGCCAUUACCGAGGCAAUCCACCCCUACUGAGGUACAUGCCCAUUGCUGACGCAGCCUGCCGUUGCCGAGGCAACCCACCACAAUGAAGAGACUCCACCACAGGGUGUAGCCCAUGGCAGAAGGGCGGAGACCGCAGCAGCAGGGCAGAGCCCGCAGCAACAGGGCGGACCUCACACCAGCAGGGCAGAGCCUCAGCAGGCAAAUAGUGACUAGACUGCCUCCUAGCUGGGCAGGACAGCGCAACAGACACUCACAAAGAAAGCCCCAACCCCCACAAAACAGAGCAUCUGAGAAAAAAAAACGGGUUUAUUUUUAUGAGUUCUGCUGCAGCAGAAUUAAAAGUAGCAGCCUAACAGCCCUGAAUGAACAACAGAGCUCACAGCUCAGCACUUGAGCUCCUAUAAAGUACAGACUGUCUCCUCAAGCAGCUCCCUGGCCCCUCUAUAUCCAAAAGACUGACAUUUGGCAGGCAUCAUUCUGGGAGAAAGAUAGCAGAAAAAGAAACUGGUAGCAUCCCUCACUGUUCCGCAGAUGCUAUAGGUGCACCCCAGACUAGUAGGGCCUGGAGUGGACCUCAGCAGUCAUACAGUGGAGGGGCUAGACUGGUAGAAGGAAAACCAAGUAACAGAAAUACUUCAUCAUCAACAAUCUGGGCGUCCACUCAGAGACCCAAUCGAAAAGUCAGCAACUACUCAGAUGACAGGUGGAUAAAUCAACAAAGAUGGGAAGAAACCAGUGCAAAAGGGGGAAAACACCCACACCAGAACACCUCGCCUCCUACAAAGGACCAAAACUAACCAGCAAGGGAAAAAAGCUGGAUGGAGAAUGACUGUGACGAAAUGACGGAAUUAGACUUCAGAAGGUGGAUAAUGAGAAACAUUUGUGAGCUAAAAGAACAUGUUUUAAAUCAAUGCAAAGAAACUAAGAACUUGAAAAAAGAUUCGAGGAAAUGAUAACAAGAAUGGAUAACUGAGAGAGGAAUAUGAAUUAAUUGAAGGAGCUGAAAAACAUAAUAGGAGAACUUUGCGAAGCAUGCACAAGUUUCAACAGCUGAAUUGACCAAGUAGAAGAAAGAAUAUCAGAAGUCGAAGAUUAACUCAAUGAAAUAAAACAAGAAACCAAGAUUAGAGAAAAAAACCACAAAAAGGA